CAUUUGCCUGCGACAUAAUAAAUUAGCUUAUUUACAUAAUAAUAAAGUAUAUUGAUAACAUAUUUAAAUAAAUAUACGCCAGCUAACACUUCAGAUAUAUUACUAAAAUCUUCAAACUACAGUCAUCCACCAUGAAUUUUCUAUUGUUGAUUACUGUAGUAGUGGCGUGCCUAUCCUCUGUAUUGGCUCUCGAUCCUGUUAGCCAAUGUAUCGCAAGGUGUCCUCAAAACAUCGCAACGGUGUGUGGAAGAGUUGGGAAAAGUAUAUCUCUCUACCGCAAUCGUUGCUAUUUGCCUUGUUUCCACGCAACAUUUGUUGCAAAUUAUCCCUGUAAAGUAACGAAUGAUGCCGAACUUGAUUCAGGAACACUAUCUCCUGAAGAGUCUGGUGAGGGAUCUGAUGCUGUCACCACCAUCAAAUAGCUACACUGAACGUAACAGAUUAUGACUGAAGGCUUAAAAUCAAAUAAAACAUUUAUAUGAAA